rnacentral:rRNA from 1 species
GAUGAACGCUGGCGGCGUGCUUAACACAUGCAAGUCGAACGGUGAACGAGGGAGCUUGCUCCCUCCGGAUCAGUGGCGAACGGGUGAAUAACACGUGAGCAAUCUGCCCUGGACUCUGGGAUAAGCGUUGGAAACGACGUCUAAUACCGGAUACGAGGCGUGGGGGCAUCCCCAACGCCUGGAAAGAACUUCGGUCCAGGAUGAGCUCGCGGCCUAUCAGCUAGUUGGUGAGGUAACGGCUCACCAAGGCGACGACGGGUAGCCGGCCUGAGAGGGUGACCGGCCACACUGGGACUGAGACACGGCCCAGACUCCUACGGGAGGCAGCAGUGGGGAAUAUUGCACAAUGGGCGCAAGCCUGAUGCAGCAACGCCGCGUGAGGGACGACGGCCUUCGGGUUGUAAACCUCUUUUAGCAGGGAAGAAGCGAAAGUGACGGUACCUGCAGAAAAAGCGCCGGCUAACUACGUGCCAGCCGCCGCAGUAACAC